CUUCCAAGUGGCUGGGUCCAUUUGUUUCCACUCAUGAAACACGAGUUCAGAGUCACUCUUGAUGGCUGCUGUUUCAUGAGCCAUGUUUCAGCAGCCAUAUUCUUCACUUGGUGGGCAGUGCUUGGCCACUUGCCUUCUGUGACCUUCCUCAUGUAUGUACUUGGCAAUGAAGCCAUAGUUCUUCAUGAUACACAUCUCCCUGUGUGUGAGACCACCGGAGGGCUUGUUUUUUUUUAUCCUCCCGACUCUAUCUCUCAGAGUUGAUCUUGGUUUGCAGCUGCACAGCUGUUCAGCCUUUACUUAAAAGGCUCUUGCUUUUUAUUUUGGUUUUUGAAGUCAGCCUUCUCACUGUUGUAUAAGAAUUCAUUCUCCUUAUACCAAUCCGCAAGAUCUUUCUCUUCUUCAGCUCCAAGUGUGAGAGCUGCGGCUGAACUUCUUUGUUUCCUGUGAACCUGCUCCUUGUGUCUUGUUGCUGUAUGUUCUCCUCCCUUCAAAUGAGUCCUGAAGGGGAAGAAAUCCAUAUUGGGAUUUUUUUUCUACAGCAAAGGAAACGGCUCAAGGGCAAAAAAAGGAGAUAGUAAUGAAAGAAAGUCCACAACUCACUGCCCCUAUAGAAAAGCGUUCAGAGGGGUGGCCAAAAGAGAGGUCAAUUUCGGGAGGAGAGGUGUCCCGAUACCCUCCUCUUGAAAGAGUUCAAGUCAUAGGCAGGAGGAAAUACAGAUGAAGGAAGAUUGUUCCAGAGAUUACCAGCGUGAGGGAUGAAAGAGUGACGAUGCUGGUUAACUCGUGCGUAAGGGGUUUGGACAGUAAAGGGAUGAGCUUGAGUAGAAAGUCGAGUGUGGUGAGGGCACGGGAGGGGGGAGGCAUGCAGUUAGCAAGUUCAGAAGAGCAGUCAGCCACAUAUUCCCCCCCCAGAGUCUCCCGUCCCAUCCCAACAACCCAUCCCUCCCUCCACCCCACAGUGCCAGCCACAUUCUCCCCUCCCAGAGUCUCCCGUCCCAUCCCAACAACCCAUCCCUCCCUCCUCCCCUCAGUGCCAGCCACAUUCUCCCCUCCUAGAGUCUCCCGUCCCAUCCCAACAACCAAUCCCUCCCUCCCUCCCUCCCUCCCUCCCUCCCCUCAGUGCCAGCCACAUUCUCCCUUCCCAAAGCCUCCCGUCCCAUCCCAACAACCCAUCCCUCCCUCCUCUCCUCUGCAGUCCACCUCCAGUCAGCCUGAUCAGCCCUGGGGAGCCUGACUGCUCCAUCAUCUUCAGUCACCCAGGAUGUGAAGAACAAACUACAGAGCAUGUGGUGUGUGCUGGGAUGCCUUGCAGGAGAUCACGCUGGGAUACGAAGCCGCCCCUCAAGAGAUGGAGUCCACUCAACCGCUCGAUUCUGCCGAGAGAAAAGAAUCGUUCAACUCUGAAGAUUGCCACGGAUUCUUAUGUAUUAGCUAGCGAGAUGUGAACUUUCUAUCUCGUGAAAAUAAAGAUCAGGGACGUA